AUUGAACGCUGGCGGCAUGCCUUACACAUGCAAGUCGAACGGCAGCACGGGAGCAAUCCUGGUGGCGAGUGGCGAACGGGUGAGUAAUAUAUCGGAACGUGCCCAGUCGUGGGGGAUAACGUAGCGAAAGCUACGCUAAUACCGCAUACGAUCUAUGGAUGAAAGCGGGGGAUCGAAAGACCUCGCGCGAUUGGAGCGGCCGAUAUCAGAUUAGGUAGUUGGUGAGGUAAAGGCUAACCAAGCCGACGAUCUGUAGCUGGUCUGAGAGGACGACCAGCCACACUGGGACUGAGACACGGCCCAGACUCCUACGGGAGGCAGCAGUGGGGAAUUUUGGACAAUGGGCGCAAGCCUGAUCCAGCAAUGCCGCGUGCAGGAUGAAGGCCUUCGGGUUGUAAACUGCUUUUGUACGGAACGAAACGGCGAGCUCUAAUACAGUUUGCUAAUGACGGUACCGUAAGAAUAAGCACCGGCUAACUACGUGCCAGCAGCCGCAGUAA
rnacentral:rRNA from 1 species